rnacentral:rRNA from 1 species
CGAUCAGAGCUGAUAAACAUAGAUGCGGGUCUUACCAUGCAGUCGACGAUGAUGGAGAGAGCUGGUCUCUGGAGAGUGGGGAACGGGGGAGUGUACAUGAGUAACCUGUGCUUGUGUCUGGGGUAUAAGUUGGAGAAAACGUCUAAUAUACGAUAUAAACCGCGAAGGCAUCUUCAGUGGUUGGAAAGAAUUUUGGUCAAGGAUGGACUCUCGGCCUAUCAGGUAGUUGGUGAGGUAAUGGCUCACCAAGCCUACGUCGGGUAGCCGGCCUGAGAGGGUGACCGGCCACCCUGGGACUGAGACACGGCCCAGACUCCUACGGGAGGCAGCAGUGGGGAAUAUUGCACAAUGGGCGAAAGCCUGAUGCAGCAACGCCGCGUGAGGGACGACGGCCUUCGGGUUGUAAACCUCUUUUAGCAGGGAAGAAGCGAAAGUGACGGUACCUGUGCAAAAAGCACCGGCUAACUACGUGCCAGCAGCCGCGGUAAUACGUAGGGUGCAAGCGUUGUCCGGAAUUAUUGGGCGUAAAGAGCUCUUAGGCGGUUUGUCGCGUCUGCUGUGAAAACUGGAGGCUCAACCUCCAGCCUGUGUGGGUACGGGCAGACUCUAGUGCGGUAGGGGAGAUUGGAAUUCCUGGGGUAGCGGUGGAAUGCGCAGAUAUCUCGAGGAACACCAAUGGCGAAGGCAGAUCUCUGUGCCGCAACUGACGACUGAGGAGCGAAAGGGUGUGGAGCAAACAGGAUUAUAUACCCUGGGAGUCCACCCCGUAAACGUUGGGAACUAGAUGUGGGGACCAUUCCACGAUCUCUGCGUCGCAGCUAACACAUUAUGAUCCCCCCCCGCUGGAGUACUACCGCAACGACGAAAACUCAAAGGAAGAUGACGAGGGGCGCCCACACCGGCGGCAGCAUGCGGAUUAUUACUUAUGAUGCGCGAGAACCUUACCAACGACUUGACAUCAUACCAGCAAACAUCGAGAGAUCAUCGUCGCCGUCAUGACGAGUGUACUAGAUGGUGCAUGGUUGUCGUCAGCAUCGUCGUCGUCGAGAUGAUGGUGUGAUGUACCCCCAACGACGCAGCACA